UGUUGUGAAUUGCUGCUCUUAAUGAAUCCACCUUGAUAGAGGCUUUUAAGCUCUCUCUGCUUUUAUGAUUGUUGGUUGCUUCUUUUUUUAAGUGAUUUUGGGCACAAACAAGGAACCUCAUCGAUGGCUCUUACCUACUGUCUUUACUUUUUGAAAGUCCUACAAUUCGUUGCUGAACAAGAUCCUGCUUCGGCUGAAUAGCAACAUCUAGGAUGGCAUUCUCUUUUCCUCUGUGCCUCAGAUGGUCAAAGUCUGAGAUAUCUAUUGGGCUAUGGUUCUUUUAAACUAUCGAAAUGAUUCAGUGAUGUGUAGUCAUGAUAAUGAGGAGCUGAUUUACAUGUUUUAGAACUCAAA